UUUCCAGACAUUUAGAUGAUUCUAUUAAUAUUGACUGGAUGAUUCAGUACAUUGAUUUGUGAAUGGAAACUUCAGGAUGAACACUGGCCUGCAGCAACACAACUUACACCUGCCAUAUUCCUACACUUGAGCAGCUUCACCAUCUCAUCUCAUCCCAUGGCAAACCAACUCUCUGGAUAUGACUCACCUGUCCAGAUGUCAUCAUCUACAGAGGACCAUUUCAUCCUUGAACUCCUUAGAUGACUAAGCAGCCAUUCUCAUCACCUCAUGCUAUCACAGAAGUUCUAAAAUGCAUUAAGAGUGGUUGUGCCCUAAAGCUGCUGCUCCUCUUCACUGGAGACAAAGCAGGCACAGUGUGAUUAACAGAGAUGGAUAUGCUUAACUGAAUCAAACCUCAUCAUGGUGGAGAACUGCAUAUGAUUGCAACCAAAGGUACAAAUGUAAAGGAGUAAUCCUACUUUCUGCCUUUCAUUCAAAUAUGAUUUUUAAAUGAAGAGAUAAAUUAAGCUAUAAUACCAUCAGGGAAAUUAAGUAAUGGAACUUUCCCGGUUCAAUAAUACCAAAGUAAGAGGUACUUCUGAAAAGGUGGAUGAAUCUGCAGGAAAGGUCCCACAUUCCCUAAGGUUCCCUUUUAUUCAUGAUAAUGAAAAGAAAUAAUUGAAAACUAGUCAUCUUUUCUA